UCAAAUAUUUCAGAGACUGCUACAGCAGCCCUGAGGCAGUGUGCCUAGGUGUCUUGCUCUGUAGUGAAGGACCAGGAGGAACUAAAUAGUUCCGGAAAUAAAGCAGAAAAGCAGUGACUUUCCGUCUCAUAUUUGCCGCUGUUUUAUGUCUUAGAAUGGUGUUAUUCGGUUGAUAAAUACUGUGACAUGCUAAAGAUGGGUGGAGCUCUUAAAAGGUAACUGGAUCAUGGGGCACUACAGCUGACUUGCUGUUUUGGAGGCAGGACUUGGAUGAAGACAGAUCACUGGAGGUGUAGCCUGGGUGUAUAUGCCUACCUCCCUUCCUGGUUCCUCCCUUCUCUCUCUGGCCAGCAUGAUGAUUCUUCAAGACAGAGGGAAAGACUCAAAGCCUUUACAAUGUGGCAGAAUUUGGAAAUAUCCUCUAGGACUCACAAUAACAGCCUGCCCUUACAGGCUGGCCAGGUGACAAACCAAUUUCAGCCAUGCAAAGCAAAUGGUAAUUCUUUAGUUUCCUUAACUAACUUAGGUUUUCUCUCAAACAUCUUAUCUUCAUGGGUUAUGAGGAAAAGUUAAAUUGAAUCUGUUCUGGCAACCUAGGAUCAAAAACUUUAAACAUUCUCUUAAAUUAUCAUUUUCUUUCAAGGUUCCUGUCUCUUUAGGAUACUGUUUUGGAGAUUAAGGAAAAGGGGCUCAUGUGACUUCCUGGUUCAAUAACAAAGAAAAUUCAGAUUCCAGAAGUUCUUCUGGUCAGCACCAGGUGCUGGCUAGCAGCAGAGUCCAAGUUCUGGUUGGCUCUGCCUGACCCACUCAGUAACCCUUGAGUAUGAGCCAUAAAGUUGGGGUGUGCCUCCUUCCCACUAGAGGGGCUCUCCCCUUCUUCCAGGAGCUGAAGAUCUAAGGAGGCUAAUCUAAGCCUCCUUUCCUCCAUAGCCCAGGUGACUGGAGGACCACUCAGCAUGGCCGCCUAGAAUCACAAAUCCAAGUAUGCAAUGAUCCUUUGCCUUUGAGAUCCUUAAACCCUACCUAAUUGGCUUCUUGUUUCCAUAACUCACAGAAAACAAGUCACCAGGACACAUAUUUCACCACUUGCUUUUCUUAUAUUUACUAUCUCCUUUUACCUAAAACUGAGCAGACAUAAGAGAUGGUGGAAUUUUUUUUACAAAAGUGGAAUUGUUGGUCAAAUGUGUGAUCACUUGCAUCAUUGUAAAAAUGAGAACAUUGUAAAAAUGAGAACAGAAUGAUGCAGUAACAAUUAAGUGGAUACAGUUUGUGUGACCUUUAUUCUCAGGUUAUAUUGACUCUGUUGAAAUAAACUUUUACACACAAGUUUCUCUAACAUCCUUCACUGAAAAAGAAGUUUUAGAUACCAUCACUUGAUGGAAACUUUGCUGGCUGAUGAAAUUCUAAACUCUAUGAACUCUUGAGUUCUUGAGCACUGAAUAAAGACAGUGGCUUGACUCCACUUCCAACAAAACCUUAGGUAAUUAUGCUAUACACUGUAUUUUUUCAUCUUUCUUUUAAAUCAGUUUGGUAUUUGUGUUUCAUGACCAAAAUACUCUAAACCCUAAAAAAAAAAAUUUAAAAACCCCAAUCUUGUAUUUGGAAUAGUGGAGGGAAGGAGGAAAAGAAGGGAGAAGGAGAUAAAGAAAAUAACAGAAUAUGUCCAUAAAAUAUUCAAAACAGAAAAUUUAGGAAUUUCUUACAUAGUGGGGUUGAAGGUUGUUAUUCCAUGUGUUCUGUGACUCAGUCAUCACUUUUGUAUUCUUGCCUGCUUGUACAUCUCUUUCUCUUUCUCUCCUUUAACAUGUGUUUUUACACAUUUUUAAAGGUCAGGCUAUCUAUCCACUAUUUCUAGUACUGAGUUUUGGUGGUGGCAGUGGUGGAGACUGCUCCCAAAUUUCUAAUUAACUGAAUCCAGAGGCUCUGACCUAUUGUUCUAAUAGCUUAAAUUUAUAAAAAACUAGGAACCAAUAAUUUUUAGGUAGCUAUAAACACUCCAAAAUAAAAUUAAAAGAAGAAAUACAUUCAUUUUUGUCACCUUGUGAGAGUCUUGUCUACUUCUUAUUUCCCGAUGAUAUACAUAGGUUUUAAAUCUCGCACAAUCCCACAGGAAUUUAGCUUUUGUACUUUCCAUUAAAAAGCAAAACAGAACAAAAAAUACCUUCAGAAUGUUCAAGUGCAUAAUGUUUGAAAUUUUUUUGCCUUUUUAAUGCAACUUUGUUAACAUGAAGAAAAUAGUAGCCAAGUACUAUCUUAUUUGGGCUGUAGAAUAAGUUUGAUUUAGUAAAGUUUUUUAGCCUUAAGUUAUGUGAUACAUUAAUUUUUGCAGUUUAGACUUUUACAACCACAUCUGAAAUUACCUUCACAAAAUUUAUUAAAGAAUACAAUUGUCACACAAAAAUUAAUGCCAAGCCCCUAUUUAUGUAAACAUCCAAGAAUGAUUUGAAGAGUGACAGAAACAUGUUGGGUUAAUUGCCCCAUGAUGGCUCUUGUCCCAGAUGUCAGGCUGUGUGAUUACUAAAGCAGUCCACUGAUUGGGUCGGCACAGUUCUGAGUGUGGAUAACUAGAAGGGUCACCCUGGGUGUGAGUGCUGCCCACCCUAAGGGCAUGUUGCUGGGAUAGGAGAGACGGUCACUGCUUGCUUCCUUUUAGUUUGCUUCCUUCCUGCCUUCUGCCCACCAUGAACUGUUUUUCCCCUGUGAUACCCCUCUACCUUGCCACCCCACCUUGAAGCCAGCCAACCAUGAACUGCAACCUCUACAAACUGUGAGCUAAAUAAAUCUUUCUUUUCUUAACUUGCAGGGGUUGAGUAUUUUGUCUCAGCAAUGAGAAAAGAAACUAAGACAGCCCCAGUACUAAAUGGCCUUACAGAUCCAUUCUGUUUGACUCUUAAAACUAUUUACUGACUUUUUCCUGUCUCUUUUCUUUCAACAGAAAUGAAGACAACCUGACGUAACACUCCUUGGUAGCUUGCAUCGUUUUCUGUGUUUAUUCUGACUUGGUUCAUAUCUACAGCUUAGGCAGUACAAUGCAGUGUUGUAUUUAGGGGUUUUAUUUCUGUUCUAGCCUUAAGUAAAACCUACUUAAAUUACUUAUUUCUGUGUUCCCUUGUAAGUAUCUAGCAUAUACUUGGAGCAAAGUACCUGAUCUUCAAUGAGCCAGAUAAUCAGAUUACAAUCCUUGUUGUAAUUGUAUAUAAAGCAAGAAUACAUCAUGUAGCAGUUGAGCAAGAUGUGAAAAAUUAUUUCAUAAAGGCCUUUUGGCUUCUUGCUGUUGUAUGGUUCAUUCCAAACCUUGGGGGGAUAUUUAGAAAAACACAUUUGUCUACAUGAAUGCAGUAGUUAAUAUAAUCCUCUUCCUUUUUUCACAUUUGCCAAGGCAUGUGGCUGCGAAAUAAGAUUUCACGGUCUAUUUCAUGUUCUUGUAGGAUCAGAAUCCUACAAGGAAACUUCACAGUUGAAAGAACCUUAGAGCAGGGAUCUGUAUACUGUUUGGAAGAACAUGACAUCAUCAUUUCUGAAUUAAGCAGCAGGGCUAAAGUCAACAAGUACUGCCUAAGAAAGAAGUAUGGUAUGGACCUUUGUGAUUUCACUAUCUGUCUGGAAAGAAGCAACCACUGUUUCUGUGAAUUUGAGCACAAUUCUGAAUUGUUUACAAACAUCUAGAAAGACUUGAAAUAUCUAUCUCAUUCCCUUGUCCUUUUAUCCCUCUUUUUGCUUUCCAUGACUGUGCUGUGACUUCUUUUUCCUCUUCAAUGCCUUAGAGAUAGCCAACCAUGGACUAAAGCCUCUAUAAACCACAAAGCAAAACAAAAUCCUUUCCUCCUUUAAUUUACAGGUGUCAGCGAGGAGAACAUAACUAAGACAUCUACUGAGAGCUUUUAAGAUCCUUUAAUUUGUAUCUUAAUAAACUGCAUUUCUGUUAAACUUGUAUUUAUAUAUUUUUUAAUUUGUAAGAUAUUGAUGUGAUUUCAUUCCUUUAAAGAAAUCUUAACAGAGUAUGAUAUGAUAGCACUGUAAGUUGUUAGAGAAAACUGAGUGAAAGGUAUAUGAGAAAAUUGCAUGAAAUCUGUAACUCUGGUUUAAAUUUAGAAUUAUUUUAGAACAAAAGUGCAAUAAUACAAAGAUGUUAAUUCUUGAAAUCUAGAAGAGUGAUGACUUUUUAAUUGACAGUGCAAUUAGCUAUUAGACACACAAAGGGUUUGUUGCACCAUCUGACACUCAGUCCUUUGUGCUCUACUAUGUUACCGUUGAGAAAUGGGCCUCUGCUUCAUCUCAAUGGCUCUUCUUCUACCUAUUGAUAAAGGUGCAGAGGCCUCAUUUCAACCAUUCUGCUUCCCUAAGUUGAGAAGACAACCUAGCAUGAAUGUAGCUAUGAAAGUCUGAUGCAGCUGUAAAGUCAGAGGCUAAGAGAUUCAGCUAACAAAUUUAUCAUCUCUUGACUCAGUAUCCAAGACCAGUACCAAUCAACAGCACAGGGUGAUACGGCACUAUUAAAUAAAUGACAUAUAUGAAACAUACACAGACGUUCUGCUUUCCUAAAGUUGUCUGGGUUUACCUAUAAAUGAUACAGGAUUAUUUUUUCAUUUAGUUGGAGACUCUCCAAGCACCACUCAAAAAAAAGAAAUUUGCAGGAGGGCGAAUAUGCUGAAUUAUAUUAUUGCAGAUUCUUGACUCAAUCCAGCCUAUCAUCAUUUGAAAAAUCAGAGCAAACAGAAGAAUAUAUCUAAAUAUUUUCAUGCUUCCUAGAAGAAAACUUUUGUCUAGCCUCUGUGGAAUAUAUACAGAACUUUAGAGUAUGUAGUGAAAACAUAGUCCUCAUCCAAAAUCUUUAUUUUUAUUUAUCUAGAGUAAACUUAGGAAAUCUAGUCAUGAAAUUUUCAGCUUUUCACGGGCAAUUUCCAGUGUUUUCCAAAGGUUAAGCACAGAUACUGUAUCAACUUGCUACGUGAGCAAAUAUGCUAUGUUCUUCAGGACAUGAAUCUCUAAAGUGAGUCAAUGAAUACAUGGAAAGCUGUCCUUUUUUCUUUGAUUUAUAAUGUACAUCUUUAUGGCAAUCUAUGGUAAUUUGUAUGGUGUACAAUGUAUACUGAGGAA